rnacentral:siRNA from 1 species
UGAUUGUGUUCUGGUAUGUU